CACCACCUCUCUUUCUAUACAAGAACCAGGCCAACAUGAAUUCUCUCUGGGUACUGACUCUGAAAGACAAUACAUCUGGGAAUGAUGUGAUAAGCUCAGCACUAAAAAUGCUGAUCUGCAAGAGCUGUGAAAAUCACUCCUUUUAAUAUCAUAUUCCAGAAAAUGCAUCCAGGUGGUCCACUGCACCCACACAGAGCCCCUUUGAAGUUCAUGAAGAGCCACACAGAAGCAGGGCUCUGCUGGAGUUCAUCUUACUGCAAGACUGGAGCCAUAUUGGUGGAGACAGAAGAACUACUGCAGUUCAACAUCAAGCUGCUGAAACUCUGACCCGUCUACACAACCGUGACGUGCAGAGGCAUCGGCAGGAGCCCCCAGAUGAGAGGAUCCUGACUGGUCAUCAG